UACGUAGGGCGCAAGCGUUGUCCGGAAUUAUUGGGCGUAAAGAGCUCGUAGGCGGCUUGUCACGUCGGGUGUGAAAGCCCGGGGCUUAACCCCGGGUCUGCAUUCGAUACGGGCUAGCUAGAGUGUGGUAGGGGAGAUCGGAAUUCCUGGUGUAGCGGUGAAAUGCGUAGAUAUCUGGAGGAACACCGGUGGCGAAGGCGGCGUCCUGGACCAACACUGACACUGAUGAGCGAAAGCCAGGGGAGCAAACGGG
rnacentral:rRNA from 1 species